rnacentral:rRNA from 1 species
UGAACAUUAACAUUUCGAACGCACAUUGCGGUCCUCGGAUACUGUUCCCGGACCACCUCUGGCUGAGAGUCGUAUAACAUUACCAGACUGCCACUUGCUUUAAACGGCUUGCCGGCGAAUGAUGGAGUUUCACGUAUAUGCGUGCUCUUAAAUAAUUCACUCAACGUGUGAGCUAGUCCACUUUGCAACAUCGGACAUUACCGUUUGUUGACGUUCUGUGGAAUUACGGCGGGUUGUGUGUCCUAGAGAUUUUAUAUUCUUGCGACCCUCCCGAUAACCGGAAACCCGAACCCUUCGAAAUGCGGUUUCGUUCCGGCAAAUUUGGACGAUUCAAAGGUUCCUCAUUGAUUUUGCGUGCGCUUGCUUACUAACGUUACUAACGUCCACUGCCAGAUGAUAUAAAUGAUAUGGUAUAGGGUCGUUUUUAAGCGUUCGGCCGGUUGCAAGCACGGACGGUUAUUGGCCGUCGGACCUAGUCCGGCAUCGAUGCCGCCUCGAGCUGUUAGCUUCCGUGUUCUCGGACGGACUCUAUUACCGGUCAGCGAUGCUAUUGCUUUAUGUACUUUCAGGACUCGUCUUGAAACGCGAACCAAGGAGUCUAGCAUGUGCGCGAGUCAUUGGGAAAUACAAAACCUAAAGGCGCAAUGAACGUAAAGGUUUGCUUAGGUAAACUGCGGGAUGACGGACCGCAUCUACGGAUGCGUGCUUGCAAUCCCGAGGCGUCUCACUCUCAUUGCGAGAAGAGACGCACUCAGAGCGUACACGCUAGGACCCGAAAGAUGGUGAACUAUGCCCGGUCAAGUCGAAGUCAGGAAAAACCCUGAUGGAGCACUGUAGCGAUUCUGACGUACAAAUCGAUCGUCGGAACUGGGUAUAGGGGCAAAAGACUAAUCGAACCAUCUAGUAGCUGGUUUCCUCCGAAGUUUUCCUUAGGAUAGCUGGCAUUCGAUGAGCGGGUCUCAUCCGGUAACGCGAAUGAUUAGAGGCCUUAGGGCCAAAACGACCUCAACCCAUUCUCAAACUUUAAAUGGGUGAGAUCUCUGGCUUGCUUGAAUAGUGAAGCCAGAUUUUUGGAUCAUAGUGCCUAGUGGGCCACUUUUGGUAAGCAGAACUGGCGCUGUGGGAUGAACCAAACGCCGAGUUAAGGCGCCUAAACGACGCUAAUGGGAUACCAUGAACGGCGUUGGUUGCUUAAGACAGCAGGACGGUGGCCAUGGAAGUUGGAAUCCGCUAAGGAGUAUGUAACAACUCACCCGCCAAAGCAACUAGCCCUGAAAAUGGAUGGCGCUGAAGCGUCGUACCUAUACUCGGCCGCCAGGGCAUGAGAAACGUUCAUAAUAGUUCGUUUUGACGCCCUGGUGAGUAGGAGGGUCGCGGUGGUGUGCGCAGAAGGGUUUGGGCGUAAGCCUGUCUGGAGCCGCCAUCGGUGCAAAUCUUGGUGGUAGUAGCAAAUACUCCAGCAAGGCCCUGGAGGACUGACGUGGAGAAAGGUUUCGUGUGAACAGCCGUUGCACACGAGUCAGUCGAUCCUAAGCCCCAGGAGAAGUCCUAUGCUGAUGUUGGUGUAUUUUAUUUUGAAUAAAAUUUUACACCCAUCGGGCGAAAGGGAAUCCGGUUACUAUUCCGGAACCCGGCAGCGAAACCGUUUACAAGUAGGGCUCUCGCAAGAGGGUUCGUCGGGGUAACCUGUAUGAGCGUUCGAGUUCCCUGGAAUCUUCUAGAAGGGAGAUAGGGUUUGGAACGCGAAGAGCACCGCUGUUGCGGCGGUGUCCGUAUCUUCCCCUCGAACCUUGAAAAUCCAGGAGAGGGCAACGGUAGGUGUCGCGCCGGUUCGUACCCAUAUUCGCAGCAGGUCUCCAAGGUAAAGAGCCUUUAGUCGAUAGAUAAAUCGGUAAGGGAAGUCGGCAAAUUGGAUCGGUAACUUCGGGAUAAGGAUUGACCCUGAGGAUCGGGGCGUGCCGCGCUUGGUUGGGAAGCGAGCGUAGGCCGAUGUGCCGGGCCUGGGCGAAGUGAAAUUGUCCUUGUGACUUAGAUCCGAGCUCGGUCCCGUGCCUAGACCCCUCGCGGAUCUUUCUUGCUGCGAGGUUUCUGUACCGGCUUCGGUCGGUCAGUCGUACUCUUCGGCCGCCAUUUAACGGUCAGCUCAGAACUGGCACGGACUAGGAAAAUCCGACUGUCUAAUUAAAACAAAGCAUUGCGAUGGCCUUAGCGGGUGUUGACGCAAUGUGAUUUCUGCCCAGUGCUCUGAAUGUCAACGUGAAGAAAUUCAAGCAAGCGCGGGUAAACGGCGGGAGUUACUUUGACUCUCUUAAUGUCUCGUCAUCUAACUAGUGACGCGCAUGAAUGGACUAACGAGAUUCCCACUGUCCCUAUCUACUUUCUAGCGAAACCACUGCCAAGGAAACGGGCUUGGAAAAAUUAGCGGGAAAAGAAGACCCUAUUGAGCUUGACUCUACUCCUGCAUUGUAAGGAGACAUGAAAAGUGUAGCAUAAGUGGGAGAUAGUAAUAUCGUCGGUGAAAUACCAAUACCAUUGUUUCUUUACUUACUCGAUUGGGCGGAAAGCGUGCGUCAAAAACUUGCGUUCCGACUGUCACGGUUUUCUAGAGCCAAGCGCAUAAGAGUGGUGUGAGGCAUUGCGCCGAUCGCCAACAAUACUCUAGCGUGAUCCGAUUCGAGAAAACUGCUAGGCGGAGAGUUUUACUGGGGCGGUACUUCUCUCAAAUAAUAACGCCGGUGUCCUAAGGCCAGCUCAGCGAGGACAGAAACCUCGCGUAGAGUAAAUGGGCAAAUGCUGGCUUGAUCCCGUUGUUCAGUGUGCACAAGGGACUGCGAAAGCAUGGCCUAUCGAUCCUUUUGGCUUGAAGAGUAUUCAGCAAGAGGUGUCAGAAAAGUUACCACAGGGACAACUGGCUUGUGGCAGCCAAGCGUUCAUAGCGACGUUUCUUUUUGAUCUUUCGAUGUCGGCUCUUC